AUCUUCCAAGCUACCACAUUUAGCGUACAUGUCAAUCAAACUAUUCGAAACCCAAACCGAGCUAGAAUACCCUGAUUUAACGGAGUAGCAAUGAAGAUGUUUCCCCGUUUCAAGAGCUCCCAGGUUGGCUGAAGCUGAGAUAAACCCUGGUAAGCUGAACUGAUCCGGUCUGAUUCCAUCACCAUGCAUAUGGUUGAUGACACUUAGUGCCAUUUCAUGCUUGGCCAACUCGUUAAACCUCGUAACCAAGCUCGUGUACGUAAUAGUAUCUCUCUUGUCCAUUGACUUAGCCACGUACCAGGCAUCAGCUACCUUAUCCGAGCUGGCGUAUGCAUCGACGAGUGAAUUCCCUACGAUGAUUUCACCAUCUACGUGUCGUCGUUGUAGAUAUCCAUGAAUCUCUAGUACUCUCCUUACUGAUUUCAGUUUGGUGCAGGCUCGGAGAACACCAGAUAGAGUGACAACAUUGGGCUCUAUUCCAAGUCUUACCAUCUCCAUCAACACUCCAAAGCAAUCUUGUUCAAACCCGUGAUCAACAAGACCUAAGAGUAACGUUGUCCAAGAGACGACGUUUGGUGAGAUCAUUGCUCUGAAAACUCUCAAAGCUUCUACUUCUGAUGCCGAGCAUUUCAUAUACAUAUCUAAAAGUGCAUUUCCGACGUCAGUGUUGUCCUCCAAUCCGACCUUAAUCGUCAGUGAAUGAAUCUGCUUCCCUAAAUCCAACGACUGGACAGAGGAGCAUAAGCUCAACAUUGCAGUGUACGUGAAAUUAUCCGGUUGCAAACCCGAACCUCGCAUCUGAAGAAACGUACCAACAGCUUCCUUGGCUCUCAAGUUUCUUGCAAACCCUGAUACCACAGACGUCCAAAGAAACACAUCCUGUUCUCCAAUCGAAUUCAACACCCUUACAGAAUCAUCCAUUUCAGCAAACCUCGAGUAGAACUCAACAAGAGAUGUCUUCAAUACCACGUUCAGCAGAACUCCAUGAACGAUUACGCUGCUGUGAAUCACUUUACCAAACUCCAAACCGAGAAAAGAAGAGGCACCUAAAAGCUUAACGAAGGUGAACUCGUUAGGAGGAACACCAGCUUCAAUCAUCUCAGAGUAACACUCCAACGCCUCUUUCCAUUUACGAGCUUCAACUAAAGAAGAUAUCAUCAUGGUCCACGAGAUGGUAUCAGCACCGUUCUUACAAGAACUAAACAGUUCACGAGCUUCCUCAAGUUUCCCACACUUUGAAUACAUAUCAGUCAAGCCGCUUCCUAUAACCGAAUUUCCCAAAAACCCAGUCUUUAUAACAGAACCAUGAACUUUAGCUCCGUAGUUAAGGUCUCUUAAACCAGCACAAGAUCUUAACACUGAUGAAAACGUGAACUCGUUCGGAACUGUUCCCGAAGCCAACAUUUCUUCGAACAAUGAAAGCGCGGACGCAAGCUCUUGGCCUUUGGUAUAAGAAGAGAUCAUAACAGUCCAGGCAAAAACGGUUCUCUGCGGCAUUUCAUCGAACAGUUUACGGGCGUUCAAUAUUCCAUCUGUUUUCAAGUAAAGACUCAGAAGAUUGUUGCAUAAGUUGAGAUUAUCUAGAAGACUCAGCUUGAUUACGGGGCAGUGGAUGUGUGAACCGAUGCGAGAUGUAGUCGAUUCGCAAAAGGAGAGAAUCCGAAUGCAUGAUUGCUGAAGAUGAUUACUCAGUACUUUGCUCGUCAUUUUCUCAUGGAGAAACUCUGAUGGUCACGUCAUCGCUGUUGAAGAAUUUGGUUGGAGCUUGGAGAAAGACAGAACCCAAGUACUCUCAUAUACGCAAUAUGGACAUUAGAACAUGUAUAAAUACCGUGCAAUGCUUGUCUGAAAUAAAAUAUAAAUCUAAGUGGUUGCUGUUAGGCCUGGGAAUUUAAAUCAAAGUCCGCGGGCCCCGCCCCAUUUGACCCGCCGCGGGGCGGGUGCGGGUCGAGCGUUUUGAAAAAAUCAAGUCGCGGUUCUGGCUCAUCAAACUUCGAGUCUUUUGGGCCAACUCUUGUUUCCCAGAUUCUUCGUAUAAGUCUGCCAAAAGAAUGUAGAAGGCUGGAUCAGAUGGUGCAAGUGCUAAGCCUUUGUUAGCCAUAUCUUCUCCUAAAGAUAAAUUCCCAUGGUAUCUACAAGCUCUCAACAAUGUUUUGAAGAUCAGAGCAUUUGGUCUCAACGGCAUCGUCUCUAAAACUCCUGUUGCUUCCUCUAGUCGUCCCGCACGGCCUAAGAUAUCAACUAGAUGAACAUUGUGCUCUAUCUGUGGCUUAAUGUUAUGAGUCUCUUCCAUUGAUCGAAAAUACUCGAGACCCAUCUCGGUCAAUCUUCCACUAUUACAAGCCGAGAGCAAUAUCAGGAAUGUUACUGAAUCAGGCUCGGUUCCUUUCAUCCUCAUCUCCUCAAAGGCAGAUAGAGCAGAGGAAAUACAUCCGUUUGAUGCCAAACCUGAUACCAAACCGUUCCAAGAAACAGCAUCAGGCGUAGCUAUCUCUUCAAAAACUUUCUUUGCAUCUUCCAAACUACCACAUUUAGCGUACAUGUCAAUCAAACUAUUUGAAACCGAAACCGAGCUAGAAUAGCCUGAUUUCACGGAGUAGCAAUGAAGAUGUUUCCCAGUUUCAAGAGCUCCCAGGUUGGCUGAAGCUGAGAUAAACCCUGGUAAGCUGAACUGAUCCGGUCUGAUUCCAUCACCAUGCAUAUGGUUGAUGACACUUAGUGCCAUUUCAUGCUUGGCCAACUCGUUAAACCUCGU
rnacentral:lncRNA from 1 species